rnacentral:rRNA from 1 species
GCGUGGGAACGUGCCCUUCUCUGCGGAAUAGCCACUGGAAACGGUGAGUAAUACCGCAUACGCCUUCGGGGAAGAUUAUCGGAGAAGGAUCGGCCCGCGUUGGAUUAGGUAGUUGGUGGGGUAAUGGCCUACCAAGCCGACGAUCCAUAGCUGGUUUGAGAGGAUGAUCAGCCACACUGGGACUGAGACACGGCCCAGACUCCUACGGGAGGCAGCAGUGGGGAAUCUUAGACAAUGGGGGCAACCCUGAUCUAGCCAUGCCGCGUGAGUGAUGAAGGUCUUAGGAUCGUAAAGCUCUUU